rnacentral:rRNA from 1 species
CCUACGGGAGGCUGCAGUGAGGAAUAUUGGUCAAUGGGCGUAAGCCUGAACCAGCCAAGUCGCGUGAGGGAUGAAGGUUCUAUGGGUCGUAAACCUCUUUUAUAAGGGAAUAAAGUGUGGGACGUGUCCUGUUUUGUAUGUACCUUAUGAAUAAGGAUCGGCUAACUCCGUGCCAGCAGCCGCGGUAAUACGGAGGAUCCGAGCGUUAUCCGGAUUUAUUGGGUUUAAAGGGUGCGUAGAUGGCCUGUUAAGUCAGUGGUGAAAGUCUGCGGCUCAAACAUAGAAUUGCCGUUGAUACUGGGAGGCUUGAGUAUGGUUGAGGCAGGCGGAAUGCGUGGUGUAGCGGUGAAAUGCUUAGAUAUCACGCAGAACCCCGAUUGCGAAGGCAGCCUGCUAAGCUAUCACUGACAUUGAUGCACGAAAGCGUGGGGAUCAAACAGGAUUAGAUACCCGUGUAGUC